rnacentral:rRNA from 1 species
UGGGCAAUCCGAUGGAGCACGCCGCGUGAGUGAAGAAGGUUUUCGGAUCGUAAAGCUCUGUUGUUGGUGAAGAAGGAUAGAGGUAGUAACUGGCCUUUAUUUGACGGUAAUCAACCAGAAAGUCACGGCUAACUACGUGCCAGCAGCCGCGGUAAUACGUAGGUGGCAAGCGUUGUCCGGAUUUAUUGGGCGUAAAGCGAGCGCAGGCGGAAAAAUAAGUCUAAUGUGAAAGCCCUCGGCUUAACCGAGGAACUGCAUCGGAAACUGUUUUUCUUGAGUGCAGAAGAGGAGAGUGGAACUCCAUGUGUAGCGGUGAAAUA